CGGACGGGUGAGUAAUGCUUGGGAAUCUGGCUUAUGGAGGGGGAUAACUACGGGAAACUGUAGCUAAUACCGCGUAAUAUCUUCGGAUUAAAGGGUGGGACUUUCGGGCCACCUGCCAUAAGAUGAGCCCAAGUGGGAUUAGGUAGUUGGUGGGGUAAAGGCCUACCAAGCCGACGAUCUCUAGCUGGUCUGAGAGGAUGACCAGCCACACUGGAACUGAGACACGGUCCAGACUCCUACGGGAGGCAGCAGUGGGGAAUAUUGCACAAUGGGGGGAACCCUGAUGCAGCCAUGCCGCGUGAAUGAAGAAGGCCUUCGGGUUGUAAAGUUCUUUCGGUGAUGAGGAAGGUGUUUGUUUUAAUAGAGCAAGCAAUUGACGUUAGUCACAGAAGAAGCACCGGCUAACUCCGUGCCAGCAGCCGCGGUAAUACGGAAGGUGCGAGCGUUAAUCGGAAUGACUGGGCGUAAAGGGCAC
rnacentral:rRNA from 1 species